AGUGAACGCUGGCGGUAGGCCUAACACAUGCAAGUCGAACGGCAGCACAGUAAGAGCUUGCUCUUACGGGUGGCGAGUGGCGGACGGGUGAGGAAUACAUCGGAAUCUACUUUUUCGUGGGGGAUAACGUAGGGAAACUUACGCUAAUACCGCAUACGACCUACGGGUGAAAGCAGGGGAUCUUCGGACCUUGCGCGAUUGAAUGAGCCGAUGUCGGAUUAGCUAGUUGGCGGGGUAAAGGCCCACCAAGGCGACGAUCCGUAGCUGGUCUGAGAGGAUGAUCGGCCACACUGGAACUGAGACACGGCCCAGACUCCUACGGGAGGCAGCAGUGGGGAAUAUUGGACAAUGGGCGCAAGCCUGAUCCAGCCAUACCGCGUGAGUGAAGAAGGCCUUCGGGUUGUAAAGCCCUUUUGUUGGGAAAGAAAAGCAGCAGGUUAAUACCCCGCUGUUCUGACGGUACCCAAAGAAUAAGCACCGGCUAACUUCGUG
rnacentral:rRNA from 1 species